AUACUUCUAUUUAGUUUA
rnacentral:tRNA from 1 species